GGAAACAUGGCUUUAAUGGUAGAGUACUUGCCUAGCAAGCAUGCAUAGGCUCUGAGUUCAAACCUCAGUACUGCCA
rnacentral:tRNA from 1 species